GGGGAAUAUUGCACAAUGGAGGAAACUCUGAUGCAGCGACGCCGCGUGAAGGAAGAAGGUUUUCGGAUUGUAAACUUCUGUCGCAGGAGACGAUAAUGACGGUACCCUGUAAGAAAGCACCGGCUAACUACAUGCCAGCAGCCGCGGUAAUACGUAGGGUGCGAGCGUUGUCCGGAAUUACUGGGUGUAAAGGGAGCGUAGGCGGCUUAGCAAGUUGGACGUUUAAUCUAUGGGCUUAACCCGUAGUCGCGUUCAAAACUGCUGAGCUUGAGUGAAGUAGAGGUAAGUGGAAUUUCCAGUGUAGCGGUGGAAUGCGUAGAUAUUGGAAGGAACAUCAGUGGCGAAGGCGACUUACUGGGCUUUAACUGACGCUGAGGCUCGAAAGCGUGGGUAGCAAACAGGAUUAGAUACCCUGGUAGU
rnacentral:rRNA from 1 species